rnacentral:tRNA from 1 species
GGUAGCGUGGCCGAGCGGUCCAAGGCGCUGGAUUUAGGCUCCAGUCUCUUCGGAGGCGAGGGUUCGAUUCCCUCCGCUGCCA